rnacentral:rRNA from 1 species
ACCAUCAGCCACCACAAACCCACUACCAGUACUGAAUGACUUCAUAAAUUAUGAAAGUCACCAUGCUAGAACUAGUAACAAGAAUAUGAACUUCUCCAAAGUACAAGCAUAAACCAGCAAUGGACAACCCGCCGGCAAUUAACGACAAUGAGCCCCAUAUAACAACACACCGAGAAAACCUUAUAACUUGAAUCGUUAACCUCACACUAGCGUACUCCCGGGAAAGAUUAAAAGGAAGAGAAGGAACUCGGCAAAUCUUAGCCCCGCCUGUUUACCAAAAACAUCGCCUCUUGUAUAACCAUAAGAGGUCCAGCCUGCCCAGUGAUUUAAUUCAACGGCCGCGUGAUUUUAAACGCGCAAAGGUAGCAUAAUCACUUGUCCUUUAAAUAGGGACUCGUAUCAACGGCACCACGAGAGCUAUACUGUCUCCUCCCCCCAAUCAGUGAAACUAAUCUCCCUGUGAAAAAGCAGGGAUAAGACUAUAAGACGAGAAGACCCCAUGGAGCUUAAAACACAACAACAACUCAAAUAGCACAAACCCACACAAUUUUAAGCCCUGUUCUGUUAGUUUUAGGUUGGGGCGACCGCGGAGUAAAACAAAACCCCCACGACGAAAGGAACUAAACCCUUAUCCAAGAGACACAUCUCUAAGAAUCAACAAUAUGACGCCUAUGACCCGACUAUCGAUCAACGAACCAAGUUACCCUGGGGAUAACAGCGCAAUCUACUUUGAAAGCUCAUAUCGACAGUAGGCUUACGACCUCGAUGUUGGAUCAGGGUAUCCCAGUGGUGCAGCCACUACUAACGG